UACGUAGGGUGCAAGCGUUGUCCGGAAUUAUUGGGCGUAAAGAGCUCGUAGGCGGUUUGUCGCGUCUGCUGUGAAAACUCGGGGCUUAACUCCGGGCCUGCAGUGGGUACGGGCAGACUAGAGUGCGGUAGGGGAGACUGGAAUUCCUAGUGUAGCGGUGAAAUGCGCAGAUAUCAGGAGGAACACCGGUGGCGAAGGCGGGUCUCUGGGCCGUAACUGACGCUGAGGAGCGAAAGCGUGGGGAGCGAACAGG
rnacentral:rRNA from 1 species